AAAGCUCUCCUCCGAAGGGCUGAGGGAUCGGCCAGCAGCAGUGCUGGGUGCCAAACUGCCGCAGCUCAGCUCGGGGGUUGCGUUCACUGAGCUCUGAAGGUUCUGGACUCCCCGUUCUGCAGUGCAGGAGCUGCACCUCUGAAGGCCAUCUGGUCCCACCCCCUGCGAUAAGCGGGGACACCCACAGCUCCAUCAGGUGCUCAGAGCCCACCCAGUCUGACCUUGGCUGUACCCAUGGAUGGGACGUCCACCACCACAGCACUCAGCUCUCCAGGAGCAGGCUGACACACGGACCUGGAGGAGAAGGGCAAGUUGUCGUGGCCGGCGCUGGCGCAGCAGUAGAAGCCCUGCAGGGUUUUCACCACCCGUCCUCUCGCUGGGCUGAUGUUUGAUUGCAUCCCACAGCAGCAGACUGGAGGAAGCAGGGCUCACUCUGCUCUCCGGAGUUUGUUUGUUGCCCUAGGAGACACGCUGACAAGCAUCACAAGCUUUGAAAGUCAAUUGCUCGCUGGAGUUGAAAAUGUGUUUUCAGGUAUCUGGCUGAUAGGUCCUCCACCAGGAGGAUGUGUCUGGAAUGCUGAGUGAGGCAGCCGAGCCCGGCCCCGGGGCAGCGACGGGAGAUGGCUGCGCUCCGAUGUGCCGAUAAAGUGCCACCGCUCCCAGUGCCCAUUGAUCUGGGGUGAUAAAGGAGGCCCAAUUUGUAUUUAAAGGCAUUGUGAACUUCGUCCUUCCAUGGAAAUGGUUUUGGCUGAAAAUGAGUGAGGAUUAUAAGUUUCUGUGGCUGGGAGGAAAUGGUGGUGCUUGGGGUUUUCCAUUACCACGGUACAUGCAGGUGGUUCCCAUGUGCUGUCCCAACACACCAGCAAGGUCCAAGCAUCUCCUGCAGUGGAGAUGGGCUGCAAGUCCUGAGGCCACUGAUGAGUCUGUCCUUCCUGGGGUGAGGACAUGAGGGACCAACCUUUCCUUCCCUUCAUCCAGCUGCUGCACUGCCGGGACCCCGGCACCUACCAGCAUCCAACCAUGGCACAACUUGGACAGCAGCACCCACCAGCAUCCCCAUGCUCAGUGCCCGCCUGGGGUCCCUCGGAUCCCACUUGUCCUAUGGUCACUUUCCCAGCAGAGCUGUGCCCAUGGGGGGAGCAGGGACAGGACGAUGCCGAAGCCCAGUGCUGGCUGCAGCUGGAGCUGCAGUGCCUGGAGCAGCGGGUGGCAGAGGGAUGAGCGCUCCAGCCAGCCAGCCAUGCAUGUUUGAUGUGGUUUAAAUUAAUCUCGAUUGCUGUCUAAUAUUUUAAAAAGACACUUUUUAUAACAUGCAAGAAUAAUGUAGGAGAACUAAUGUUCCCUUAUGAAACGCCUUUCAGAAUUAUGAUAAAAGGGCACUUUAAUCUGCUGUGAGAAGUCUCGGGGAGGGAAGGACGUCAUGCGAACAGGUGGAAUCAUGGAAUAAAUACAGUAAUUAA
rnacentral:lncRNA from 7 species